AGGCUAAGGUGUUCCAUAAGGCCAAUAAAAAUGACAUAAAUAUAUAACAGGAAAAAUGGGAAAGAAACAAAUGACAUUCGAUGCUGUAUGCCCUCAUUAUCGUGCUAUUUGUCUAUUGAUCACGAGUCAUUUUCACAGCCCCCCUCCCCCCUCACCCACAGGUUUCGAUAGAAUGAUUUCACUGGUGUGAAAUAUACCAGAAAACAUUCGGCAACACUGAUGCAAUCGUGUCGCCUGUCACAUUUCUAGGUUAUGAAUGUGUUUACCUUUAGAUGUUUUUGAAGAGGAGGAAAGUUCAGUUUAUCCACAAAAUUGAAUUUCAUUUCGUUACAAUUUUUGCUUUUUGUAAUUCGCCUUUAGGUGCUCCCUCAGUUUUUGGUCUUACAAGUUUUUCAUGCUGAGAGUGUAAAGUAUAAACAAAAAGUUCGCUUGUUUCAUUCUCUCUAAUAUGUCCUCUUAGUGACUUGUGAGUGAUAACAUAUUUCACUCAAAAUUUUCCAGCCCCUUGAGACUUAAAUUAUGAGCUCAGUCGUUUAAGUUUCGUACUAGUUGAAAUAAAAGUCCUUCGUUACCUGUGUGAAUAUGCUCAAGAGAUCACAAUUUCUUGUGCAUCUCGUAGCAAAUGUUGCAAAAAAGCAGAAAAGCGAUUUGUUCCUGUCCCCUGUAUCUGCAGCUAUUCCAAUAUCUAACCAGCCAGUGCAACUCAGACUAUUUUGGCGCACCCUUGCCUCAUUGAAAGAAACCCCAGACUCAAAUGAAGUAGACAAAAUAUCCAAAAAAAAUGACAAGAAGAAGAAUGAUGAUCAACAAUCUAAAACGUCAAAAGCUAAAGGAGGUGAAAAUGUGGCAGCAGUUGCCACACAGGACAAAAUGAUGAAACCAAAAAGCCAAUGACUGAAAAGUUGGAGCGAAUAGUUGAACUUGGUAUGUCAACUUCCCAUUUUAUUUUAUUAUUUUACCAUCAUCUCUAAACCCAUCUGUUACGAAAACAGGAAGAUGUUAGCAUUUU
rnacentral:lncRNA from 1 species